GAAAUAUUUUAUAAUUAAGCUGCUAACUUAAUUUUUAGUGAAUUAAAUCAUUAAUAUUUCUU
rnacentral:tRNA from 1 species